AGUGAACGCUGGCGGCAGGCCUAACACAUGCAAGUCGAGCGAGAAGACGUAGCAAUACGUUUGUAAAGCGGCGAACGGGUGAGGAAUACAUGGGUAACCUACCCUCGAGUGGGGAAUAACUAGCCGAAAGGUUAGCUAAUACCGCGUACGCUCCUUGGACUUCGGUUCAGGGAGGAAAGCGAUACCGUGGGUAUCGCGCUCUUGGAUGGGCUCAUGUCCUAUCAGCUUGUUGGGAGGUAACGGCUCACCAAGGCUUCGACGGGUAGCUGGUCUGAGAGGACGAUCAGCCACACUGGCACUGCGACACGGGCCAGACUCCUACGGGAGGCAGCAGUAAGGAAUAUUGCGCAAUGGGCGAAAGCCUGACGCAGCGACGCCGCGUGGGGGAUGAAGGUCUUCGGAUUGUAAACCCCUUUCGGG
rnacentral:rRNA from 1 species